UUCAUGAGCAUCUCUGAUUCUCUUGACCCCAUUUCUACUGGUUCCUGAUACACGCAGCAAACUCUUGCCAAGAAGAGUUGUCCUCAUUUUUCAAAUGAAGAACUGAAGCUUUAGAGGCAACGUAACUUGCUAAAAGCAACGAAGUGCCCAGAAUUACAUGGGAGAAACAUGAAGUAGCUGAGCUUUUCCUUAGAAGCAGACUUGGAGCCG
rnacentral:lncRNA from 1 species